rnacentral:rRNA from 1 species
CGACGAUGCGUAGGGGUUCUGAGAGGAAGGUCCCCCACACUGGUACUGAGACACGGACCAGACUCCUACGGGAGGCAGCAGUGAGGAAUAUUGGUCAAUGGCCGGGAGGCUGAACCAGCCAAGUCGCGUGAGGGAAGACGGCCCUACGGGUUGUAAACCUCUUUUGUCAGGGAGCAAGAGGCGGGUCGGGACCUGCUGUGAGAGUACCUGAAGAAAAAGCAUCGGCUAACUCCGUGCCAGCAGCCGCGGUAAUACGGAGGAUGCGAGCGUUAUCCGGAUUUAUUGGGUUUAAAGGGUGCGCAGGCGGAGGCACAAGUCAGCGGUAAAAUCGCGGGGCUCAACCCCGCUCCGCCGUUGAAACUGUGUCCCUUGAGUGCGCGAAGGGUAGGCGGAAUGCGUGGUGUAGCGGUGAAAUGCAUAGAUAUCACGCAGAACUCCGAUCGCGAAGGCAGCCUACCGGCGCGCGACUGACGCUCAUGCACGAAAGCGUGGGUAUCGAACAGGAUUAGAUACCCUGGUAGUCCACGCAGUAAACGAUGAAUGCUAUCUGUCCGGCCGGAAUGACGGCUGG